GGUGGCUCAGUGGCAGAGUGUUUGCCUUGCAUGCAUGAAGCCCUGGGUUCAAUUCCUCAGCACCA
rnacentral:tRNA from 1 species